GGUUUCCAUUCGAGUCUAUGAAAGCACUUGUACUUCCUCCAGGAAGUUAACUGGCUUCCCUGUAUCCCCUUGUACACAUCACUACAAUUCAUUCAUUAAACAAACAUUUAUUGAGUGCUUUCUAGGUGCCAGGCACCAAGCCAGGCACUGUUAAUACAAAAAUUCCAACACAAUCCUUGCCCUCAAGGAGCUUACAGUCUACUGGGGAGAUGACCAUUAUGCAGGCAAGUGAGCGCAGAGUGAUCUGUGUAGUAUGCCAGGGUGGGGGUCGGGAGGAGAGGGUAUAGCCAAAGCUCCUUGGAGGAAGUCAAGUCUAAGUUGAGAUUUGACAGAGAAAGUACCCUUUCUCUGUGACCAAAAGAAAGGAGGAAUCAGAGUGGCAAUGGAGAGCCACUGCAUCUCUGGAUACAGGAGGCUGUCACGAUAAUCCAGGUGAAAGCUGAUGACAGUGGGAGUGGCUCAAAUCAAGAGAUGUUAAGGUAGACCUGACCGUUUUGAGAGAUUGGAUGUGGUGGGCAGAAAGAGAAAACAGGAAUAGAAUAAGUUUCCUGUCUGGCUCCUGAGUGAUCUCGGGGUCAAGGGAAGUACCCAGAAGGGGCAGGUUUGCAGAAGACAGCAAGUACCAUCUGGGCCAUGGACCUGAAUUGUCUGUGCACCUAGAGGGCAGCAAAACUGUGGUUCAGGUGAUCAGGAAGGAUGUUGGGGCUGGAAGUCAACUCUAAAUUCCUCACCAUCCUUGAAACCAUCCAGAUGGAUGGGCUUCCCUAGGGAGCCCACAGCAGAACCCUGAAAGACCCUACUGUGCAUGGGCAAGUGGAGAAGCCUGCACGGAAGCCUGAAAGGAACAGCCAGGGAGGUAAGACAACUAGCCACAGAGGUGCCAGGGAAGUGCCAUCCAAGAAGCAAGGGGUGAUCAGCCAUGUCAAAUGCUGCCCACAUCCAGUAAGACAGGAAAGGGGUCUGCUGGAUUUAGCAACCCCUGGGAGAACACUGGCAGUAGAGUGGAGGGGGCGAAGCCACAUCAUCAAGGUGAGGGACCAAGCAGCAGAGGGAGGAAAGUAGGGCCAGCUGUCAGCCCAAUGGGAGGAUGAUGCAGGCUGCCAGUAUCCCCUGCCUUGUCUAUCCUGGUGUGCAGAAGAGAAAAGGGCCUGGCAAUCUCGUUCACACUAAGAGGAGACCAACAUGUGCUCUUCCUCUCAGGGAAAGGGGAAAGCUGGUAUUCUUAAGAGAAGGUAAAUGCUAAAGCCAAGGAAAUGAAGGGCUAUGAUGGAACUCCAGGCAUGAUAUAGAGGAAAUAUUUUCAAGCACAGGGGUUUUUCCAGUGGCUUAAAUGUAUCACAUGUGUACAGUUCAUCUCUGUACCUGCCAGCCUCACUUUGAGGUAUAGAACAUGGCCAGAAAUGGCUCUCAUAGGGACUUCAUUCCAAUAUGUACUGUUGAGCACUUGCAAGGCACUAUAGUUGGAGUGCAAGGUCAACAAAUGCAGGUCUGUGCCCAAGACCUGGCCUGCCUUCUUAGAAGGCAGAUAUAUCGCCCCAGGAGCCAAGAGUGCACAGAAGGGCCAGGCCUUGGAUGCUCUUAGAGUGACAAACAGCUUCUCCCAUGAGUCCCAUUUCUUUAAAAACAGGCUGCCUGGAAGCUAAUUUUUAUUUUGUUUCUCCUUGAGCCUAAGAUAGUAUUCAGCCAGAAACCACUCCUUUUCCCAGAGGAAGAUUUAUAAAUAGGAUAUUGUAGAUGUUCUUCUGAAAAUCUAGCCCAGUCCUAAAUUGUCCCCUCUCCUACUCCCAGUUUGACAGUCACGGAGCCUUGGGGAAAGAGAUGGAAGAGAGUGCAUCAGAGUGGCUGCCUAUAGCCCCACUUCCCACUCCUUGAGCAGGCUCAGCUCCUCACCCCUGCCCCCUUCCCAUUAAGGGCCACAAGAACAGUCCCUUGGGAAGGGCAAGACCCAAACCCAGAAAAGGAGUCCCUGGAGCAGAAAAGUGAGUCCAGUCCAGAGCAGAAGGUUAGCAGGAAGAAAGGAAGAUGAACUGUCAGGGUAUUAAGGCAAGCAGUGCCACCUAGAAGCGAAGCUUUAUUCAAACGGAAAUCCGCACUUGGACAGAAAUCACCGUUCAACAGCAAAAACUAUUUCUGUUGGACAUGCCAAGCCAUGGCCCCUCCCCAUGGCCACCUGCCCAGAGAACUUGUCACCAUCUGCUCUUAAGCUUCACAGACCCUGCCCUGCCUGCCCCAGCGGGGCCAGAACCUCCUGACCCACCUUGGAAGGGACAGGGGAGGACUGAGGGACCUCGGCCUCCUGGCUAAGCAGGCUCUGCCACCCUCCUUGGUGCCCUUUGAGGUUACAGCCUCUUGAAGCAUCAGAUCUGAGCCAAGCUGAGCCCCCCAAGGAGGGUGGGGAUGGGGCUUCAGAGUUGAGGGGAGGAAAGCCAGGGCAGGUGGUAGGUGCCUUCCCGACUUCCGGUCCCCACCUGGCAUAGAGGCCCAGGGGCCUGACUCUCCUGAUCUUGCCCCCACAUCCUGCCUGCAUGGGGGUCAGUAUAUCUUCUGACGACUGGGUAGAAUGGCCUCUUUGAUGAAGGAGAAGACAACCAGGAUCCCUAAGCGUUUGCCCCGCUUGCCUUUGGUGAAAUAAUUGGAGACGACAUCAUCUGUGGAGAUACAGGCAAGAAUAUGAGAGAGAGAGAGAGAGUGUGUGUGUGUGCGCAUGUGUGUGAACACGGCCCUCCCAACCCCGAGUCCAGGUGUCUCCAACACAGGGCUAGACUCAGGUUCCCUCAGUGGACCCCUGCCAACCCAGGCCUUGCUGGCUUGCCCCCACCUCGGCCCCUUACAAAUCCCUUCUCACCUCCUGGCUGCAUGGUAGAGGGCAGGACGUUCUCCCCGGCCGAAAGUGACACAAAAAACGCAAACGGAAUUAUCCACAGGCAGAAAGUGAAAUAGGCCAGGACCUGGCAACAAGAGAGACUGAGAAGAGGGUGCCCCGGAGGUGCCAAGAGUGGGCUGGGUGUGGUGACUGCGUGUUGGUCAAGAGUGCACAGGGGGCCACACCUGAUCUCCAAAGGGGGCCCAGGCCUGGGAAGCAGGGAACGCCACCCUCAGACAUGGAAAUCCUUCUGUGGGGAAAGGUGGAGGCUGAAAAUGACUGAAUGUGGCCACAAACCCCACAUCUUGGUCGCUAGGACAAGCAACUCCCCUGGACUGAAGGAGGCAGACAAAGUGCUAAGCCAUGACUGACUGACCCACACUCCCCAAAGAAGUGACCUUGCUCUUCCCAGAGGUUCAAACUGGAGCAGCAGGGUGUGGAGAAAUCAUGGGAGAAGAAAACCUUGGCAGCCACUGGGAAAAGCUGGGGCUCAGGGGUGCAGUCCAUCCCUGCCCUGUGAGGACUGUGUCAGAGAAGGUCACCCUAGUACCCCUUCCUGACCUCAGGAUGACCCCUCGAGGGGGACCCAAAGGACUCACUGAAGAAGAGCAGUGUCCUCCCCACCUCGGCCAAAGGAGCACAGUCUGUCCCCAUCCACACAGCUUUCUCAAACCAUCUAUGUUUUGUUUUUUUCAAACAUGUAAUCCUUGAACAGAUUCAGUUUCAAAUCAUAGCUAAGUUUAUAAAGUAAACCAUGCAAGUUCCCUUUUACUACCCUGUCCCUGUUAACAGCUGAAUGUGCUGGAUACUUCUUACCUCUGAGAAGGGAUAAUAUUCUUCUG
rnacentral:lncRNA from 1 species